CAGGGCGAAUGUCUUGUAAUUGGAAUGAUGGUGACCCAAACCCUCACCAGAGUAGCAAUUGGAGGGCAAGUCUGGUGCCAGCAGCCGCGGUAAUUCCAGCUCCAAUAGCGUAUAUUAAACUUGUUGCAGUUAAAAAGCUCGUAGUUGUAUUUUUGCGUUAGCGGUUUGACCAUUUGGUUGGUUAUUUCGUUUUCGCUUUUGGGAAUUUCCCUUUUUACUUUGAGAAAAUUAGAGUGUUUCAAGCAGACUUUUGUCUUGAAUACUUCAGCAUGGAAUAAUAGAGUAGGACUUUGGUUCUAUUUUGUUGGUUAUUGAACCUUAGUAAUGGUUAAUAGGAACGGUUGGGGGCAUUCGUAUUUAACUGUCAGAGGUGAAAUUCUUAGA
rnacentral:rRNA from 1 species